ensembl:lncRNA
AUUUAUUUAAUUAAUCUUUAUCGUCUGAUCUUUAUAGGAUCAGAGGCCAGGGCAGUCUCUGCAUGCAUGGAACGAUUUAUCUCCCUGUGUAUGUGAAAGAGAGAGAUUUAUCUCCCUGUGUAUGUGAAAGAGAGAGCGAUUUAUCUCCCUGUGUAUGUGUGAGAGAGAGAGAGAUGUAUCUCCCUGUGUAUGUGAGAGAGAGAGAGAUGCAUCUCCCUGUGUAUGUGAGAGAGAGAUAGAUGUAUCUCCCUGUGUAUGUGAGAGAGAGAGAGUCCUUGUAUAGGUUUUGUGCCUGUGGUCAGUUGAAUAUGUGCAUUGUUAACAAGUCAGCCUAACAAUACGAUGACUAGGUUUCCAUAGAACCAAUGAUGGAGAAGAUGGGGAGAUUACAGGACUGUGGUCUGACACGGCCUGCAUCGUCUCAAAUGGCAUCCCAUUCCCUAUGUAGUGCACUACUUUUGACCAAGAGCCCCAGAAAUAGUGCACUAUAAAGGGAAUAGGGUACCAUUUGGGACGCCACAUGGAUGCUUCAAGCUGUCCCAGAUCAGUUACUAUUAUACCUCGCGUGUCAUUACCAAACACUGUAAUCACAUGGCUCUCCCUUUUCAAUGUCUGAGAUGUACUGUAAUUCAGUGGUAGGCUAUGGUGCGUUCAACAAGGCAGAGAGGGAAAGAGUGAGAGAGAAAGAGAGAGGGAAAGAGAGUGGGAGGUAAAGAGAGAGGGAAAGAGAGUGAGAGGUAAAGAGAGUGGGAG